GGCCCAAAUUUUGUGGGGUUUUUCUGAAAGCAAGUGUCAAAUAAAUCUUUUAAUUCCUUUUCUUUUUACUGCUUUUGGAGACAAUUCUAAUUUCUGAACAAUUCUGCAAUGUUUACAUCCCUGCAGUGUCUUCAGUGCUUUUAUAAACAAGGGCAUUGUUUAAGAUAAUUCAUAUGCACUAGAAAAUGACAUUAAUUAAUUCUUUGCUGUGCAAGUUUUAGAAGUAUCAUAGCAAUUUAAACCCUGAUCCUGCAGUCAGGAAAGUCAGUUCUUGGGGAAAUCAGUUUUCCCUCUGUUAUUAAGUUGCCAUCUGCACUAGGCAGGACCAUGUAUUCUCUGUUUCACUUUUAUUCUUCCACAGCUGAGUCAGACACAAUUCCCUGGAGGAAGCUGAGCAGCUCCUGAGUACCUGAGUCAAGCAUUAAACCAACACUGGAGUCCUCACAAACCCUGCUUACUGUUAAACUCAGCAAGUUUUUAUUGAUGGGUUCGACCAAAACUGCUUAAAACCUGACACUGCCAGGUGCUUGGACACUCAAAUCCUAGCAGGAUUCCCAAAUUUGCUGUUCCUUCACCUGCAGAGCCUCCUCUGGUAGUCUUACUGAAAGGCUACACUGUUAACCCCCAAAUAGCCAGAAAUACGGCUUUCUGGGUAUAGAGGAGGUUGCAUUAGGAAAACAGUGUCACCAGCUGCCACCAAACCCUUGUGAGCUGUGAAGUCAACACUGUUUAUGAAGUUGUAUCUGCCUUUUAGAAUAUUUUUAUCCAACACUGAUAGAUACUGACCUUGUGUACAUGAGCUUCCUUAUCUGUUUUGAAACUAUCAACAGGUCAUACAGUACUAACCAUCUUAGCAAGCAGAUUUCUCAUCUUACAAAGCUAUGGCCUCACUUCUAAGGAAAGGAGAUAUUUUACUAAUCAUAAAGCAACUCAGGCCCUGAAAUCCAGAGUGUGAUACAAAAUAAAUCCUACCAUGAAUGUAAUUCUCAGGUUGCAGUACUGAAAACUUGUUUCUUGUUCUACAGAGCUGCUUAUGAGUACGAUACAAUAUUUGUGUGAGUCUUUCAUAUUGUAAGCAGGGCAAUAAAAAUAUAACUUCAGUGUUGUCCAGCCACAGGUUAGCAGAGGGACUUGGAAAGAGCCUUUAGUCAACAGCGUAUAUCUCUCCGUAACAUCAGAAAUCUGUCUUUAACAGCAUAAUUUUUACAUGCUCCAUCUGAUCAGUUCCCAAAGUUCUGUGGACAGUUUUAGUAGUCAAAAGGCACAAUCUUACUGAUUUGGAGGAAUAACAUGAGAAGAAGAAGCACGUGCAACCAUUGAUGGUACUGCUGGUGAAGCCUUCACUAAAAAGUCUGCAUUUCCCUACAGCAGUGGCUACGAAACUCUUUGGACUCUUUGGAGGAAGAAUGAGUCCGUAACUUCCACACAGGAGAUACUUCUUGAGCUGGAAUCAGGGCACAGGACUGCCACCCAAGGCUGUCACUGAAAUGGCAGCAGAAUAGAGGCAAAGAAAUGGGAGAUAAGAUGAAGAUGGUCCCCUUUUGAGACAAGCUCAAAGGAACAGAAGGUGAAGACAAAAGAAGAGAGACUUAUAGCAGCAAGAAGAAAGGGAAGAGGCACAUCAGUAAAUCUUGGAUUCUGUGAAUUCUCAUUGUUAACUGGUUUGAACUGCUGUGGAAUAGUAGAAUAUCUCAGGGAUAUCUGACGUUGCAGGAUAGAAGGUUCUGGUCUUCAUGAAUGGACCCACUAUAAAACAGAGCAGAAGGUUAUCUUAUUUUUGAAACACUCUGGCAUACAACUUUUACAGCGGUGCCAAAUGCUGGACAACAAUGAGAGCAGCUGAGAAGACAAAUGGAAAGAAGAAAGCAAAGGAGAAGGGUUAACUUUGGCUGCCUCUUUAAGAAACUCUGACAUUUCCAAGUGACUAUUUUAUAAUUGUCUCUGAGAUAUCAGCAGACACCACGAGUGAUGUAUAUGUAGCAUGUGAGUUGCCUGCUGUAUGUGGAAAACUGCCUAGGGAGGGAUUGGCACAGUGGGAGGGGGAACAUGGCCAGCCUGACUGUAGGCACCAGUGAGGAGUUUAGUCAUCCUGCUGAGUCAACAGGAGACAUGGCACCUCCAAAGGUGCUUUUGCCUACUCUUCAUUCCAUGUUAGACAGCUGAAGUUAUAUGGGAAGAGCCUGUAAUGACAGGCUCACAUGCAAGCUGCUGUUUAUGCAUGGGAUUCAUCUUGCUUGGCUGAUCUGCAUCACCAGCUCCAGACCUCUUCAUCUGGAAUAAAGCUGGUGUCAGACUGGGCAAGGCUUGCUGGGGCUGUUUCUUGGGGCUGUCCUUGCAGCUCUUCUCAAGCAAAUGCAGAAGGUAAGGAAAGGCCAAACAAAGGUCCCAGUAGGAUUCAGGUUCGUUUCAGAGGGACAGCAGUGUUUGAAUCCUGACAGCUUUACUGAAAGAUAUUUUUUGCUAUCAUUGAGGGUCCCUGCAAGAUGAAGGACCCAGCUGCACAAAUCCCACUGGGAGGAUAGGGCUGCUGACACAAAUGUAAUAUAAUAAAACGUGUUACAGACUUGUACAACUCUUGUCUGAUGAUCUGAGGGACUCCUCUCCCAGUUUGCCCUCAGUACCCCCUGAAGUCAGUGUAACUAUCACCUCCAACAACUCAUGGCAUUGGAUCAUGAUAUUUGUAACAAACUUCUGGUUUAAAGUGCCAGGAUAUAGGAACUAUAUUGUAUGUCUGUUCCACAACAUGCUGAACUCUUGCUUUGUCUGAAUUUUUGUCUUUUUAAAAGUAUUUUUUAAGGUCAUCUUAAUAUCAGAAGAGAAUUUUCAUUUUGUCCAUCUUUCCUCUCUUUAUUGCAGUAUUGGCUGUAAUUAAACUCUAAAUUGCAGGAGCAUCGUUACCUGACAUUUUUCUCUCUUUUCCAAACAAUUCCUGGAACUGAAAGUUAAUAAAAGGAGAUACCCCUUUUCA